GACGAUGGAUGGAUGGAUAUUGCUGAGAAGUGGACAGUUAUAAACACCACUGUCACUUGAAGAGGAGAGGGGCCAAAUUCAUCCAUAAAGAAGGGACAUUUAUGAGGUGGAGGGAGCUCAGGAUUAAGGUCAUGCCUUCGAGAUGAGCAGCCAAUCCUUGCGUUUCAGAAGUGGGAUCUAGUCAGUGUUUGACAUGCUUGAACCAGCUUGUUCUUGGUCAGUAUGCCAUUUGAUGGAGUGUGCUUGCCAUCUCGCCUGCCUCUGGCCAUGGUGCCAUCUUGAAAGGCGCCGCGGCACACACACCUGGCCCGCCGGCUGCCUCUUUGGUCUGCCUCACCUUUUGUCAGCACCAUGUUAAUGAAGGCCCUGUCAGUGUCCACCGCUCGCACA